AAUAGUUGCGUAAAAUUUAUAUUUAUAUGAUUGAUCCUAUCUCCACUACCUAAGCACCACACGAGCAUGAAUGGCAACGUAAGUUAAGUUAAACAUGAUUAAUCAUUCAUCGCGUUUGGACACGAUGAAUGAUUCACCAGGUUCUAUUAUUUUUCUACCAAAAUAUUAUUUAACAUUUAGGAAGGAUUCUGUGAACAAAUCACGCUCAUGUAGCAUUCACGUGACGCUUGCGUAGCGGGAAUAGGGUCAAACUUAUAAAUAUAAAUUUGGCUAAAUUACAUAAAACCUUCCUGUAAUAACUCGCUUUUUCACUUUUCCUCCCUGAUAUUUAAAAACCUACACUUUGCUCCCUUGUAAAAUAAAAAAUGUGCACUUCACCCCCUACCGUUAGGGUUCCGUUAUAAAAUAUUUUUUUAUACCGAAAAUACCCCUCCGCCCUCUUCCUUGUUGCUUCGCCUCCCUCUGGCUCGCUGCCUCGCCGCUGCCUCGCCGUCCUCCACUGCCUUACCCUCGCCCACAUCCCCUUCGCCCUCCUCCGCCGCCUCGCCUUCACCCUCAUUGCUCUUGUCUAUCUCUCCAUCAACACUCACCUCGAUUUCCUCUCUAUUAUCGUCGAAAUCGAGGGGCGGCGAGGGUGCAAGAGGAGAAGGGGAGCAGGUAGAGAAGGAAAUGGAGAGAAAUCGCGGCCGAUUGAGGUGGGAAUCGCGGCCGAUCGAAGGGGCGACUGAGGAAGAUGAGGAAGAAGACGAAAAUGGCGAGGGGCAAAAUAGUCAUUUUACACACCGUAACCCCUUGUGAACAUUUUUUAUUUUACAAGGGGGCAAAAUAUAGGUUUUUAAAUGUCAGGGAGAGAAAGUGAAAAAACGGAUUAUUACAGGAGGAUUUUUUGUAAUUUAGCCUAUAAAUUUUGUAGGACUGUUUAUGAAAUUUUUUUUUUUCUGAGGCG
rnacentral:lncRNA from 1 species